CAACUUGAUCGGUUUGUGGUCUUUUUUAGGAAACUUAAGUCAAGGUAAUAAUUCUUUGAUCUUCUAGGGGACGAUAAGACCCUAGAAGCUUUAUAUAUUGAUUAUCUUUUAAUGGUGGAAACUAUCAUAUUUGACUGGGGCGGUAUGAGUAUUUAAACUAUUUUAAGUUUAAUUUGAUCCUUUAGAUAAAGAAAGAUUGGUUAAGUUACUCUAGGGAUAACAGUGCUAUAAUUUUGGAGAGACCUUAUCGAUAAAAUUGUUUGCAACCUCGAUGUUGAAUUAGAAUGUCUAAAUGAAGCAUAAAGUAUGAAAGAGGGUUUGUUCAACCUUUAAAAUUCUACAU
rnacentral:rRNA from 1 species